CCAGCCUGGACAACAAGAACAAAACUCUUGUCUCAGGAAAAAAAAAAAAAAAAAAAGGAAUCUUUGUCAGUGCCUAUGGUGCCAUUUCCCCACCCAUUCUUUUGACAUUUUCUUCAGCUUAUGUAAGCCACUGUGCAAAGCAGUUUCAAGCCUCCCUAAUUCUAAGUGGAUGUUUGCUGUGAAGUCCCUCUUAUAAAGGCAUUCUGGCAUUACGGCCACUGAGGACUGCCCAAAUAAUGUGUCAGUAAGUUAGCCACUUUAGUUGUCUGAGGAACUGAUUUAUUCUGUUGGAAACAUAAAAGUACUUUCAGCCAAAGCCCCGUCUUCAGGAUCCUCAAGAUAGUGAAAUUCUGCUUUGGCAUCAUACCCUUUCAUCUCUAUUUUUGGAUUUUUGAUUUGCUGGAUGGUGUUUCUAUCUGGCUUAAUCACUUUACUUAAAAAGGUAAGAAAAGCACAUGGAAUUUUACCCUAGUUUUAGUGCAGGUCUGCCCUGAGACCAAGGCAAGAGUGGAGCUUUCCCCACACCCCUCACUUUAGAGGGAUCUGGUUUGAACUCCCCUACGAGCUUCACCCUCCCAUGAGCUGCAGAGUCGGCGGGUCAAGGAGACACACCCACCUAGGUCCACACCCCCAUGCUCCCUACUCCCCAGCCCCUGGCUUGAACACACACAGAUCAAGUUUUGAAACACAAAUUUCAAGUAUGAGUAGUCCCAAGCCCACAUGCAGGGCUUCAUGCAGGUUUCUUUCCUGGAUCUGCCCUCCCAAAGACUGACUUUGCUGCUUCUGUGCAUAGCACUGGGCCUGUGGUGUGCCCAGGGAAUGGCUACUGGCUGGGGUGUUCAACUUGUGAAUUCGGAAAGGCAGGUUGAGAAAAUUCCAUCUGAAGACUUUGGGUUUAGAGCUCCCUCGUAACUUAGAGAUGGUUUUUUAAAAGGACUCAGGUGUUCAUCUUUGGUUCAGAAAAUAUGAUCUUGUACCUAAACUUCUCCCAUGUUGCCAUCACAGCCUCAAGUGUCAUAUUGAGUUGAAUGGAACUGUUAUAAACAAUAGGCCACUAAAUAACUGGUUGGUCACCUGAAGGAAGAAUACCAAUAAGAGGAUUCCUGAUAAUCACCAUUCUACUCUCUGCUUCUGCGAGUUCAGCUUUCAAAAAUUCCACAUACAGGUCAUGGAGAACUGAAAGCUCAUGGUGUGUUCAGAGAACAACCAGCAGAGGAGAGGAGGAAAGAAGAGAAGGAAGGAAGAAGAUCAAGCUGAAAUGGUACUACAGGGACUCUCAAUGUUCCAUUAAGCCAAAGAGUGUGGGACAGGAGAGUAAUUCAAUUCAGUAUGUAUUUUGAAUUGAUGACUGAUGAUAGUGACUAAGGAGAAUUAGAAAGUAGAGGCAGUUAGACUAGUUCAGUGGCAGUGGAAAUAGUCUAGGUGAGAGAUGAGGUCACAUUUCAAAGGCCUUGAAGAAAUGGACACCUUUGGCAGAGAUACAAUGUUGUCUCCCAAUGUCUGUUUGUUGCUUCUUGUUUUACUUAUAACCUCCUGACCUUUCACUAGGUUCAUCUCCAUUAAGAAGAAAGAUUAAUCCCUGCCUCCCUUGCAGUUAGAUGGGGUCAUGUGUCUAAGGUCUGGUUAGCAGAUAUAAAUGGCAGCAGUAUGUGCAACUUCUGUGGAAUGACCCUAAAGAAGGAGAUUGACUUUUCUUUAUCUUUUCUCCUUUCUGAUGGUUGGAGGAUGGACAUGGUGGCUAGAUCUGGAGCAACCAUUUGGGCUAUGAGGCAAGUUCAAGAUGUGAGAAGGACACUGUCUCCCUGACACCUUGGUUUACCAUACAGCACCUGGGCUGAUUCUCUCUGUAACUUUACCUGAGAGAAAUAAACUUCUGUCUUGUAUAAGCCAUU